rnacentral:rRNA from 1 species
CCAGACUCCUACGGGAGGCAGCAGUGAGGAAUAUUGGUCAAUGGGCGAGAGCCUGAACCAGCCAAGUCGCGUGAGGGGAGACGGUCCUAUGGAUUGUAAACCUCUUUUGUCAGGGAGCAACGCCGGCUACGUGUAGCCGGACUGAGAGUACCUGAAGAAAAAGCAUCGGCUAACUCCGUGCCAGCAGCCGCGGUAAUACGGAGGAUGCGAGCGUUAUCCGGAUUUAUUGGGUUUAAAGGGUGCGCAGGCGGAAUGUCAAGUCAGCGGUAAAAUUUCGGGGCUCAACCCCGUCGUGCCGUUGAAACUGGCGUUCUUGAGUGAGCGAGAAGUAUGCGGAAUGCGUGGUGUAGCGGUGAAAUGCAUAGAUAUCACGCAGAACUCCGAUUGCGAAGGCAGCAUACCGGCGCUCAACUGACGCUCAUGCACGAAAGCGUGGGUAUCGAACAGGAUUAGAUACCCCAGUA